rnacentral:tRNA from 1 species
GCGGGAGUAGCUCAGUUGGUAGAGCGCAACCUUGCCAAGGUUGAGGCCGCGAGUUCGAGACUCGUCUCCCGCUCCA